GACGGGGCCCGCACAAGCGGUGGAGUAUGUGGUUUAAUUCGAUGCAACGCGAAGAACCUUACCUGGUCUUGACAUCCCGGAGACCCUUAGGAAACUAGGGGGUGCUUCCAUCUGGAAGAAUCUGGAGACAGGUGCUGCAUGGCUGUCGUCAGCUCGUGUCGUGAGAUGUUGGGUUAAGUCCCGCAACGAGCGCAACCCUUGCCUUUAGUUGCCAGCAGUUCGGCUGGGCACUCUAAAGGGACUGCCGGUGUUAAACCGGAGGAAGUGGGGAUGACGUCAAGUCCUCAUGGCCUUUAUGACCAGGGCUACACACGUACUACAAUGGCCGAUACAAAGGGCAGCGACACUGCGAGGUGAAGCCAAUCCCGUAAAAUCGGUCUCAGUCCGGAUUGGAGUCUGCAACUCGACUCCAUGAAGUUGGAAUCGCUAGUAAUCGUGGAUCAGCAUGCCACGGUGAAUACGUUCCCGGGCCUU
rnacentral:rRNA from 1 species